AGAUCAGCGUAGUUUAAACAAACACACGCUUAACUACUGUCACCCUGCUGUAUCGUGAUUAAGAACCAGUCGACACAUGAAAUCAAAUAUAUUUUUCAACUACUUGACGACGAUUAGCGAAGGCUAACAGCUAGGCUAGCAGCUAACUGUUGCAUGUUUGGGUGACGGUGCGCGAAGGAGGGGGAGGCGGAGGGGAGGACGAAGGGGGAGAAAAGUAAUUUUAAGUAACAACUUUAGCGAGUGGAACACAAGAAACGCAACGAAUAGUACGCCACGAGACGCUCGAAGACGUGAUCCGCCCGCAAGAUUAACCCGUCGACAGAAAGGCGUCGAGAAAGCGGUUGCUUUGACAACUCACCCGUCCAUUGCACAAGAAAAAAAAUGCAGGUCUGAGGCGAAGGGGCCUGCACAUCCCGAUGGAACUCAGGCUGGCGUUUACAUUCACGUGAAAGGGUGAUUGCGCACACAUCAAAAACGACAUAACAGUGACGAGACGGUUCACGCGGUUGCGAGGCUUCAUGCAGUGCUACAAGUCUACUGUCCGCAGGGGGUGAGGAGGGCAACGACACCUUCCCUCCCCCGGGCAGCUGUGCAACUCACUUGUUCAGAACGGUUGAAAUAAUACAAAAAGCUGUGACUUUCAUGUACGUAUAUAUAUAUAUUUUAUAUAUAUAUAUAAAAUAUACCACAUAUAGUAGUGACGGGAAGCAUCUAUGGAAUAUAUUGUGAUCGAACGGUGGCUCGCGUGACUCUGGAUGCCGCAUGGUUCAAGUGACAAUUCAGAUUUUUUUUUGUCUUUAAGGUGGUACAUGGUCAGUUUUGUAAUGCGAAUAUUGCUCACUUUAAAAAGCAAAAAACUUUUUGGGGUGAUAUCCCUUAAAACAGUCAUCAUGACUUGAUGUAAGGUGGGGGUUACUUACAAUGUUUUCAUGUGUUACAUUAAUGUAAACGUCAAUUGAAAUGUUCUCAACACGGAUUUAAGCAUUAAAUUGACCACUUGAACCCGCGGCAUAAGUCCGAGCCAAGUCAGCGAAAGACGGCGCUGGUUAAUGACACAAAGUUUACAUGCAAGUUAAUGGUGGUGGCCAUGAUGGAUUACACACAAAACCGCCCAAAAAACAAAUAAAUACACUGUAUAAAACGUAAUUUCAAGUCAAUAUAUUAAAAUACUAUUCAAAAUAAUAUCUCGGACAAUAUUGCAAUAUGAAAUUGGCUGAUAAAUAGUUAGCUAGGCCUACAGAGAUAUAUAUUCCGAAGCAUCUGUGUCUUGUUUGCACAAUGAAUGACUUUUUUUUCUUUUAGUUUUCCAGGUCAAAAUGAGGGGAUAGUGGUACAAUCCAGAGAGCUAGCAGAUAUUUCCUCCCUUUCCAACAAUAACAACAAACAGUACAGUACACAGUCCCAUAAUCAUAACAAUAACAAAGAUAUACGGAAUACAAUAGACAGAAAAAUAGAAAACUAUCAAUAGAAACCAAAAGUCAAAAUACGAGUGUAAAGUAGGCUGAGUACUUGUAAGUCUUUGUGGAUUCUUUUUUGUUGUUGUUAGUU